GGGCCCAAUACACUGUAAGCAAGUCCCCAUAGAAUAGCCGAGCAUUGGGCCCAACUCAAGGCGGUUCAAACUUGUCGUUAGGGUUUCUUUCUUGACCUAUAAAUAUUUCCAAGGCCCUCACAGCGUAAUCCUUCGCGUCACAAUUUGGUUUCUCGGCAGACCUAUCCUUUUUCUGAAACUCUAGGGUUUGGAAGCGAACUCUGUCUCUUCGUUACCAUGAGGGCUAAGUGGAAGAAGAAGCGUAUGAGGAGAUUGAAGAGGAAGCGCCGAAAGAUGAGACAGAGAUCCAAGUAGAUUUCUUAAUAAAGAAGUGAUGUUUUCCCCUUUUUGUCGUUAAAUUUCGGAUGUUUUGCAAUGUUUGUUUUUAAUUAGUACUGAUCAAAGAGUAAUAGUAGUAUGUUUAUUUGGACACAUUUUGUUAUAUUCAGUGAGUUUAUCUAUCUUAAUGUGAGUUAUUGAUAGUUUUAAACCA